rnacentral:rRNA from 1 species
UACGUAGGUGGCAAGCGUUGUCCGGAAUUACUGGGUGUAAAGGGCGUGUAGGCGGGUUAUUAAGUCAGAUGUGAAAUUCCGGGGCUCAACCCCGGCGCUGCAUCUGAAACUGGUAAUCUUGAGUGCUGGAGAGGAAAGCGGAAUUCCUAGUGUAGCGGUGAAAUGCGUAGAUAUUAGGAGGAACACCAGUGGCGAAGGCGGCUUUCUGGACAGUAACUGACGCUGAGGCGCGAAAGCGUGGGGAGCAAACAGG